CCUACCGCCUACAGCCCCGUUCUCUUGUUCUCUCUGCUCUUGUAUGUUUACAGCUUUCUAAUUCCUUCAUGGCUGUUUAGUGGAGCCUGAAGGGUGGGGCCUCGUGUGGCCCGUCUGCCCUCCUUCAGGCUGUGCCGCACUGGUGCGUUUGGUGUGUGCUUGGUGAGAGUCUUUGGGUCCUGCUCGGAGGAGGCAGGAGCGUGAACGGCGCUCCCAGGGCCAACCAACGGUCUGUGGUCAUCAGCAGGCCUGGAGCUGCCUGUGCAGGGUGGAGGGGGCUGUUCUGGUCUUGGCCUCACCUCCUCUGCCACAGCUGCAAGUUUAAGUGCCUAACCCAUCAGGGUCAAACCCAGGGGAGUGCUUCCGCUGGCAAGAAGGCCCACACAGAGAGGCGAGCCCUGACUUCCGCUGUGCGCCCAGCACUGUGACCCAGAAGGCCGGCCCCAGCGUUGGUCCUCGCGGGACGCUUGUGUGGACCCCGGUGAGGAGCAAAGGUGAACAUGCUUGUCGUGGUGCAGCACACAGUGACCUGCGGCUGAUUCCAGCUUCAGCUUGUUCUCUGUAGACCAGAAAAAGGCAGCUGUGAGCAGCGUGCGGGGAGAAUGGUCCCAGGGGCUCGGCCUCCCACCUGCCUGUCUCAGGACCCCAGGGCGCUCCGGACCCCAGGAGGAAUGUGCUGCUCAUUCUUGAAAUUCACUUCCCCGGAAGACAUGGCAACCAUGAACACUGGAUCAGAGGUGGGGAAGCUGCCUGGCUUCCACUGGGCCCCACCCAUCCACCCAUCUUGGCCUCCUCAUUCUCUCUGUCCAUGGGUGGUGACAAGCUUUGCCUUGACCUGAGCCCAUGUACCUAGGUUUGCACCUUCUCUGGAGUGAAAGAGGAGAUGAGUUAUUUUAAUCUUGAAGAUCCCAGGUCAGAACAUCAGUUUUCUAGUCCAAGCGCUGCCUCACUGUCUUCAUUUAUAAAAUGAGAGAGGGGAUGCACUGUUCCCCAAAUCUGAGACCCAGGGUGUACACGAUUGGAGCCAAGUCUCACAGCUGGGGAGGAGUGGCUCUGGCACUUGAGUUCAGUUUCUCUGGCUCCAAAUCUGUAGGGAGUGGGGGUCUCCCUUAGAUAAGUAGGUUAAGAUCCUUUUGUGAUUCAUAAGCGUGAUGAUUGGGUUUUCAUGCUCAUGUGUGAGAUAUGCCUCUCUCAAGCCUUGUUACAACAUCACAUUACCUGUCUGAUGUUACAAAAAAAAAAAAAAAAAAAGAGAAGAGAAGAAUAACAAGAACAACCACAGAAAGCCCCUCAUCAUCUCUCUGGGGCGUGCAGUGGGGCCGUUUCCACGGGGGCGGGCCUCAGAGCCCUCUGACUGAUUCUUCUGGAGCACAGAGCCCCACCAUGCUGAUGUUCCGUGCGCUGGUCUGGGAUGGUUCCCGCGCUCACAGCCUGGUGUGGUCAGCAGCAGGGUUUCAUUCAGGUCUCUCCUUCCUGACCACACUGAGAGACCUGCAGGCAGAGGCUGACCUGAGUCACCUUUAGGGUCCCCAGUUCUUACAGGGGAUGUCUGCUCACUUAGGAGACGGCCCUGUCCCCAAGCACCCCCUAUGCCCUCCAGAACGGAGAAGACACGCAAUUCUUCAUUUGGGUUAUGUGAAAUGUUGGCCCCUCACUGUGAUACGGAAGGGAAACAGGGAGGCACUGGGUAGAAGACCGAGGUUCCCUGGCAAAGGCCUCACCCUCAAGCCUGAAGACCUGAGGACCUAAAUGAGGACAGGCAUUUCUGUUUUUGCACCUAAAAAGUUGCCUUCUGGUCUGCUAUGCCCCAUAUCCUGUCCCCGUAUAAACCCAAGGGCACACAUGCAAGUGGCUGAACAUCAGGACCAGCAGACCAGUGAAGGCAGAACAACAAGGCAGAGAAAGAGAAAAGCGGAGGGACACCUGGAGGCUGAGGGGAGUUCAGCCAGAGGUGGCUAGAGAAAAGUCCAGCACUGGACAGCCCGGUUCCAGGGGAAGACCUCCUUCCCCUCCAUCACCUCCUUCCAGCUCCCCAUCCAUCUCGCUGAGAGCCACCUCCUCCACUCAAUAAAACCUUGC
rnacentral:lncRNA from 1 species